rnacentral:misc_RNA from 1 species
CUGAGUUUACUGCUCAUAACCCUUUGUGAACCUACCUAAAUCGUUGCUUCGGCGGGCGCUUCCCCCCUGUGGUGGGAUGCCCCGGCCCCUAUGGGUGCCCGCCGGAGGUCUACAAACUCUUGUUUUCAGCAAUGUCUCUUCUGAGUGGCACAAGCAAAAAUAAAUUA